CACUUAUCCAGAGAGGCGGAGGGACUGGCCCUUUGAUGCCCGGCAACCGGUUCAUGCAAAUGAAUACGGUGCUAAUUCCUGCAAAGUACUUUACUUUGGUAGAUGAGAA
rnacentral:ncRNA from 2 species